AAGUCCUUUGGGAAGAAGAAACUCUCAAAACCCAACCCCACCCAACCCAUCCCGGUGGACCUCAGCAGGCCCCCGCGCGCCCGCGAGGGCGCCCGUCACUCACACGGGUGAGGUUGGCCAACUGAGCUGGAUUUCGCCCGGGUUGCCUGGCAUAUGCUCACGAAACCAACUUCAGACAUGAGAUGGCCCCCGCCGGGACUGGAAUCCCGAGCGAGGGCCUGACCAAGAGGAAGCAGCAGAUCUUCCCG
rnacentral:ncRNA from 1 species